rnacentral:rRNA from 1 species
UACAGAGGGGGCAAGCGUUAUUCGGAAUUAUUGGGCGUAAAGGGCGCGUAGGCGGCUAUUCAAGUGGCGGGUGAAAUCCCUCGGCUUAACCGAGGAACUGCCUGCCAGACUGGAUGGCUUGAGACCGGGAGAGGUGAGUGGAAUUCCCAGUGUAGCGGUGAAAUGCGUAGAUAUCGGGAGGAACAUCAGUGGCGAAGGCGGCCCUCUGGUCCAGUACUGACACUCAAGUGCGAAAGCGUGGGGAGCAAACAGG